UACGUAGGUGGCAAGCGUUGUCCGGAUUAUUGGGUUUAAAGGGUGCGUAGGCGGCCCUGUAAGUCAGUGCUGAAAUCCCCCGGCUUAACCGGGGGUGGUGGCAUUGAUACUGCAGGGCUUGAGUACAGAUGAGGUAGGCGGAAUUGACGGUGUAGCGGUGAAAUGCAUAGAUAUCGUCAAGAACACCGAUAGCGAAGGCAGCUUACUGGGCUGUAACUGACGCUGAUGCACGAAAAGUGUGGGGGAUCAAAACAGG
rnacentral:rRNA from 1 species